GGGGAGAUACCAAAGUGGCCAACUGGGGUAGACUGUAAAUCUAUUGGCUUCGCCUUCGUAGGUUCGAAUCCUGAUCUCCCCA
rnacentral:tRNA from 1 species